rnacentral:rRNA from 1 species
GAUGAACGCUAGCUACAGGCUUAACACAUGCAAGUCGAGGGGCAGCAUGUCGGUUGCUUGCAACCGACGAUGGCGACCGGCGCACGGGUGAGUAACGCGUAUCCAACCUACCCUUGUCCAUCGGAUAACCCGUCGAAAGGCGGCCUAACACGAUAUGCGGUUCUCAGCAGGUCAUCUAACGAGAACGAAAUGUGAAGGAGAAGGAUGGGGAUGCGUCUGAUUAGCUUGUUGGCGGGGUAACGGCCCACCAAGGCGACGAUCAGUAGGGGUUCUGAGAGGAAGGUCCCCCACACUGGUACUGAGACACGGACCAG